rnacentral:rRNA from 1 species
CCAAUAGCGUAUAUUAAAGUUGUUGCAGUUAAAAAGCUCGUAGUUGAACUUCGGGGUUUACCCAUUGGUCAGGCUUAAUUGUCUGCACUGGUGAGAUGAAUCUCUACCUUCUGAGGAACUUUCAUGCCAUUUAUUUGGUGUGAUGGGAAAUCAGGACUGUUACUUUGAAAAAAUUAGAGUGUUUAAAGCAGGCUAACGUCUGAAUACAUUAGCAUGGAAUAAUGAAAUAGGACGGACUGAUUCUAUUUCGUUGGUUUCUAGGAUCACCGUAAUGAUUAAUAGGGAUAGUUGGGGGCAUUAGUAUUCAAUUGUCAGAGGUGAAAUUCUUGGAUUUAUUGAAGACUAACUACUGCGAAAGCAUUUGCCAAGGAUGUUUUCAUUAAUCAAGAACGAAAGUUAGGGGAUCGAAGACGAUCAGAUACCGUCGUAGUCUUAACCAUAAACUAUGCCGACUAGGGAUCGGAUGAUGUUGAUUUUUUAAUGACUCAUUCGGCACCUUACG